AUAACUUCCAAAUCCUCCCCUUUGUACUCCUUGAGCUUAUCAAGUAACAUCUUACGGCUGUUUUCAAUCUCAGUAAGGGCCACUUCUCUUUCAUAUCGUUGUUGCUGCUGCAAAGUCUAGACAUCAAAUAUUACAGAAAUGCAUUGGUGCGAGGGUGCUGAGGAGCAGAGAGUGGAAAAGAUUGAGCAUCCAUGGAUCGCAGCUGUCAGCCUGUCAGCAAUUUGACAAGCUAAUAUACAUGUGUAAUUUCUGUUAUGCAAGUAUGCUAGCUAAAGGGAUGAGAAGGACACUCACAAAUACUUCUCAGAAAUUUCAAUUGAUAUCAAGCAUGGACAAUAGAUACUAAUUUAAUGAGGGUGCUUGUCUAAGCAUUCUUAACUGGAACACUGGUUUGACCCUAAAUACAAGGGUGGCAGCUAAUUUUGCAUAAGGCUGUAAUUUUGGAUACAGAAGUGAAAGAAUGGCGUGAAGCAUUGAUCCAUAUGUUGAAAGCAUUCCUUAAUGGUAAACUUAGAGCGGCAAUAUGCCAAAGCAGCAAGCAUAUUGAUAGGGAAGAGAUGCAUAGGCCAGCAAGUUUAUUCACCAUAUGAGUAACUAAAAGGCAGGGGAUGAUCUUACUUGCCAAGAGUAGUAGUGAUAUUCUAGUUUUAAAAGAUGCUAUGAGAGGGAGGUAGGUAGGGCACUCAAGGAAAUCUCACUUGGGCACUCAACACUCCUGCUGCAUUCAAGGUAGUACCGGAAGGAAAUUAGACAUGAAAAAAGAUCAUGAAUAUGUUACAAAAUCUCAUUAGGUCAUGGCAAGACAAAAUAAUCAUAUUGAUAUUAGAAUUCUCAUUGCUAUAUGUGACGCUCAAAAGGUUACCCUGAAAAUUAGCAUG